UACUGUCUUAGUGGCGGACGGGUGAGUAACGCGUGGGCAACCUGCCCUGUACCGGGGGAUAACACUUAGAAAUAGGUGCUAAUACCGCAUAAUAGGGAAUACCGCAUGGUAAUCCUUUGAAAACUCCGGUGGUACAGGAUGGGCCCGCGUCUGAUUAGCCAGUUGGCGGGGUAACGGCCCACCAAAGCGACGAUCAGCAGCCGGCCUGAGAGGGUGGACGGCCACACUGGGACUGAGACACGGCCCAGAUUCCUACGGAAGGCAGCA
rnacentral:rRNA from 1 species